GGGCCGGUAGUUCAGUUUGGCAUGAAUGACAACCCUCGUAAGGCGGAAGCCGCGGGUUCAAAUCCCGCCCGGUCCA
rnacentral:tRNA from 1 species